rnacentral:misc_RNA from 1 species
UUCGUGCUGAGACAGUGUGCCGUUGUUGUGAUAAACGCCCGCCGAUAAACCCUCCCCGAGAUCGAUCGAACCGCCUGAAAUGACCGAAACUGUCGUUACCCGCUUCGCGCCGUCCCCGACCGGCUUCCUCCAUAUCGGCGGCGCGCGCAGCGCCCUGUUCAACUGGCUUUAUGCGCGCAAGCGCGGCGGCAAGAUGCUGCUGCGGAUCGAGGAUACCGAUCGCGAGCGUUCCACCGAUGCGGCCAUCGAGGCCAUUCUUGAUGGACUGAAAUGGCUCGGCAUCGAAUGGGACGACG